GGGCUCCUUCGGGAGCACCGGCGGACUGCUCAGUAACACGUGGACAACCUACCCUCGGGUGGGGGAUAACCUCGGGAAACUGAGGCUAAUACCCCAUAGGCCUCGGAUACUGGAAGGUUCCGAGACCGAAAGCUCCGGCGCCCGAGGAUGGGUCUGCGGCCUAUCAGGUAGUUGGUGGUGUAAAGGACCACCAAGCCUACGACGGGUACGGGCCCUGAGAGGGGGAGCCCGGAGAUGGACUCUGAGACACGAGUCCAGGCCCUACGGGGCGCAGCAGGCGCGAAACCUUCGCAAUGCGCGAAAGCGCGACGAGGGGAGCCCGAGUGCCCUUCCUUUCGGGAGGGCUUUUCUGGAGCCUAAAAAGCUCCAGGAAUAAGGGCUGGGCAAGACGGGUGCCAGCCGCCGCGGUAAUACCCGCAGCUCGAGUGGUGACCACUAUU
rnacentral:rRNA from 1 species